GUGCUCACUUCAGCAGCACAUAUACUAAAAUCGGAACAGUACAAAGAAGGUUAGCAUGGCCCCUGAGCAAGGACGACAUGCAAAUUCUUGAAUUGUUUAAAAAAAAA